GUGGGUGUCAUUUCUUUUGUCUUCUCCAGUUUUGAAUUUUGCUUUUCACCCAUUGCUCUCAUUUGCAUCGUCUCUACCAUUUUGCCUUCCCUCAUUCUGUUAUCUCGAUCCUUCGGUCAGAGUUCCUAUUGUGCCAAUGGAUAAGAUUAAAUUUUUUUAAAAUUUUAUCUUGUCCAAAGAGAACCUUAAAGAGACUAUGUUAACCUUUCCAACUAAUAAGUCUGUUGCUGAUGUCACCCGAGAGGUCUUCCAUGCUGUGAGUCCAUCAUCAUCCAUCCGACCUUCUACUCACAGCCCUACACCUUCACUAGCCUUGGUCCCGGUUCCAAGAGGCUCUCGUUCUGAUACCUCUAGGAUAUUAGCUCCUUCCAAGAUAUCGGCCACCUCUAAGACACCUGCUGCCCCUAAGAUAGUCCCCAAGGAUCCUAUCAUUGUCAUUGAAUCAAGGGAGGACAAUUCAGUAUUGAAUCUCCAAUUCAGAGUGCUUCUCCUUCUCAAACUGCUGGGGAUAUAGUCAUCAAGGGCCAUGCCACUAAAUGAGCUAGGACCUUUGCAUCUGUAGAGGCUGACCCUCCCCCUUCUGCUAAUAAAGGGAAAAAAGAUUAUAGAGAACCUAUCUUCUGCCUCUAAUAAUGACAUGUUGAAUUCCGUUGAUGUAAUUCUAACUUUUCGAUAGAAUGAAUCUGAAAUCUUAAAAUCAAAAUCUUUAGAAGGGUAAAAUAGGGUUUCUAUAAAUUGAAUUCGAAGCAUUUUAAAAUGUGUUAAAAAAAAUUUUAGAAACCUUUUAAGAUUCGACCACGGAAGUUUGGUUGCCAAAUGAGGCUCCUCCAGCCACCUAUAAAUGGGGCUCUACUAAUGGAAAGAAUUUUCUCUUGUUGGAUGUCA